rnacentral:rRNA from 1 species
CACGCUGGCGGCGUGCCUAAUACAUGCAAGUCGAGCGGAAUGAUGAAGAAGCUUGCUUCUUCUGAUUUUAGCGGCGACGGGUGAGUAGCACGUGGGCAACCUACCUUGUAGAUUGGGAUAACUCCGGGAAACCGGGGCUAAUACCGAAUAAUCCAUUUUGCUUCAUGGCGAGAUGUUGAAAGACGGUUUCGGCUGUCACUACAAGAUGGGCCCGCGGCGCAUUAGCUAGUUGGUAGGGUAAUGGCCUACCAAGGCGACGAUGCGUAGCCGACCUGAGAGGGUGAUCGGCCACACUGGGACUGAGACACGGCCCAGACUCCUACGGGAGGCAGCAGUAGGGAAUCUUCCACAAUGGACGAAAGUCUGAUGGAGCAACGCCGCGUGAGUGAAGAAGGUUUUCGGAUCGUAAAACUCUGUUGUAAGGGAAGAACACGUACGAGAGUAACUGCUCGUACCUUGACGGUACCUUAUUAGAAAGCCACGGCUAACUACGUG